rnacentral:rRNA from 1 species
UGAGUAACGCGUGAGGAACCUGCCUUCCAGAGGGGGACAACAGUUGGAAACGACUGCUAAUACCGCAUGACACAUUUGAAUCGCAUGGUUUGAAUGUCAAAGAUUUAUCGCUGGAAGAUGGCCUCGCGUCUGAUUAGCUAGUUGGUAGGGUAACGGCCUACCAAGGCGACGAUCAGUAGCCGGACUGAGAGGUUGACCGGCCACAUUGGGACUGAGAUACGGCCCAGACUCCUACGGAAGGCAGCAG